UACGUAGGUGGCAAGCGUUGUCCGGAUUCACUGGGCGUAAAGGGUGCGCAGGUGGGUUUGCAAGUUCGAUGUGAAAGCCCCGGGCUUAACCCGGGAAUGGCAUUGGAUACUGCAGAUCUGGAGGAUCGGAGGGGGGACUGGAAUUCUUGGUGUAGCAGUGAAAUGCGUAGAUAUCAAGAGGAACACCAGUGGCGAAGGCGAGUCCCUGGACGAUACCUGACACUGAGGCACGAAAGCUAGGGGAGCAAACAGG
rnacentral:rRNA from 1 species